UGGAAGUAAAAGUCGUAACAAGGUCUCCGUUGGUGAACCAGCGGAGGGAUCAUUACCGAGUUUACAACUCCCAAACCCAAUGUGAACGUUACCAAACUGUUGCCUCGGCGGGAACUCAUGCCCCGGGUGCGUCGCAGCCCCGGACCAAGGCGCCCGCCGGAGGACCAACCAAAACUCUUUUUGUAUACCCCCUCGCGGGUUUUUUUAUAAUCUGAGCCUUCUCGGCGCCUCUCGUAGGCGUUUCGAAAAUGAAUCAAAACUUUCAACAACGGAUCUCUUGGUUCUGGCAUCGAUGAAGAACGCAGCGAAAUGCGAUAAGUAAUGUGAAUUGCAGAAUUCAGUGAAUCAUCGAAUCUUUGAACGCACAUUGCGCCCGCCAGUAUUCUGGCGGGCAUGCCUGUCCGAGCGUCAUUUCAACCCUCGAACCCCUCCGGGGGGUCGGCGUUGGGGAUCGGCCUUCCUUCACGGGGGGCCGUCUCCGAAAUACAGUGGCGGUCUCGCCGCAGCCUCUCCUGCGCAGUAGUUUGCACACUCGCAUCGGGAGCGCGGCGCGUCCACAGCCGUUAAACACCCAACUUUCUGAAAUGUUGACCUCGGAUCAGGUAGGAAUACCCGCUGAACUUAAGCAUAUCAAUAAGCGGAGGA
rnacentral:rRNA from 1 species